ensembl:snRNA U2 U2 spliceosomal RNA
AAAUUUGUUUUGUUUUGUAGCAUAAUUCUGAUUGGUUUUGGCGUUCUCUAUAUGAGGACUACAUAUUAAAUAGAUUUUUAGAACAGGGAGAUGGAAGAGGGGCUUGCUCUGUCUGCACCACACAUUGACCUGGCAUUGCAGCACCUUCGGGAAUGGUGCACCUCCU